GAAUCAAAAAUAAUUAAAGGAAGCAUGCCACAGUUGGCUAAAUCUGUCAUCAAACAGUUGCUAAUUGCCAGUGAUUCAUUCUUAAAUGAACACUAGUUUCCGAGAUCAAUUUUUUAUUAUUUAACGUAUACCUUCGGGUAUAUUGGGACAGGAUAGGAAGUCCGUUAUCUGUGUGCCCCUUUGCAAGGGUGAUAGAUUUGGGAUGUCGAAGAUAGUCUACAUUU
rnacentral:snoRNA from 1 species